rnacentral:rRNA from 1 species
AUUGAACGCUGGCGGCAGGCCUAACACAUGCAAGUCGAGCGGAUGAAGGGAGCUUGCUCCUGGAUUCAGCGGCGGACGGGUGAGUAAUGCCUAGGAAUCUGCCUGGUAGUGGGGGAUAACGUCCGGAAACGGGCGCUAAUACCGCAUACGUCCUGAGGGAGAAAGUGGGGGAUCUUCGGACCUCACGCUAUCAGAUGAGCCUAGGUCGGAUUAGCUAGUUGGUGGGGUAAAGGCCUACCAAGGCGACGAUCCGUAACUGGUCUGAGAGGAUGAUCAGUCACGCUUGACCUGAGACCCGGCCCAGCCUCCUCCGGGGGGCAGCGGGGGGGAAUUUUGGCCAAUGGGCGAAAGCCUGCUCCCGCCAGGCCGCGUGUGUGAAGAAGGUCUUCGGUUUGUAAAGCACUUUAAGUUGGGAGGAAGGGCAGUAAGUUAAUCCCUUGCUGUUUUGACGUUCCCAACAGAAUAAGCCCCGGCUAACUUCGU